UCCUACGGGGGGCAGCAGUGAGGAAUAUUGGUCAAUGGUCGGGAGACUGAACCAGCCAAGCCGCGUGAGGGAUGAAGGUACAGAGUAUCGUAAACCUCUUUUGUCAGGGAACAAAGGCGGGGACGUGUCCCCGGAUGAGUGUACCUGAAGAAAAAGCAUCGGUUAACUCCGUGCCAGCAGCCGCGGUAAUACGGAGGAUGCGAGCGUUAUCCGGAUUUAUUGGGUUUAAAGGGUGCGCAGGCGGUCUGUUAAGUCAGCGGUCAAAGCCCGGGGCUCAACCCCGGCCCGCCGUUGAAACUGGCAGG
rnacentral:rRNA from 1 species